UACGUAGGGUGCAAGCGUUGUCCGGAAUUAUUGGGCGUAAAGAGCUCGUAGGCGGUUUGUCGCGUCUGCCGUGAAAGUCCGGGGCUCAACUCCGGAUCUGCGGUGGGUACGGGCAGACUAGAGUGAUGUAGGGGAGACUGGAAUUCCUGGUGUAGCGGUGAAAUGCGCAGAUAUCGGGAGGAACACCCGUAGCGAAGGCGGCACUCUGGGCCGGUACUGACGCUGAGGAGCGAAAGCGUGGGGAGCAAACAGG
rnacentral:rRNA from 1 species